rnacentral:tRNA from 2 species
GCGAAACUAGCUCAGUUGGUAGAGCGCAACCUUGCCAAGGUUGAGGUCACGAGUUCGAACCUCGUGUGUCGCUCCA